rnacentral:rRNA from 1 species
AAUGCUCGGAGAGGAGAGUGUAUGGACGUCAUGUAUCUAGUAUGAGAAAUUAACGAUUUAAGUCCUUCUUAAAUGAGGCCAUUUACCCAUAGAGGGUGCCAGGCCCGUAUAACGUUAAUGAUUACUAGAAGAUGUUUCCAAAGAGUCGUGUUGCUUGAUAGUGCAGCACUAAGUGGGUGGUAAACUCCAUCUAAAACUAAAUAUAACCAUGAGACCGAUAGUAAACAAGUACCGUGAGGGAAAGUUGAAAAGAACUCUGAAUAGAGAGUUAAAUAGUACGUGAAACUGCUUAGAGGUUAAGCCCGAUGAACCUGAAUAUCCAUUAUGGAAAAUUCAUCAUUAUAUCUGUAAUAUUUAUAAUAUCAUAGAAAUGGUGUGCAUUUUUUCCAUAUAAGGACAUUGUAAUCUAUUAACAUAAUAUAUAUUUAUCAAAAGGUCAUUUGCUUAUGUUUAUUCAAAUUAAUUUGCUUGCAAGUUAACACAGAAUAAAUGCUUAUGAUUUGAUAAAGUGUUGAUAGAUUAAUAAUAUAUAGUGCUUAAAUACAAUUGUAUUUUACAAUGAUGUAAUUAUCUUUUGAUUUUUAUAUUUAUUGUAUGCGCUUAUAUGAUUAACAAUGCGAUAGAUUCAGGAUACCUUCGGGACCCGUCUUGAAACACGGACCAAGGAGUCUAACAUAUGUGCAAGUCAUUGGGAUUAUUUAUAUAAACCCAAAGGCGUAAUUAACUUAACUGUUUAAAUGGGAUUAGUUUUUAGUCUUUAUGUCUAUUAAUUCAAUCCCGGGGCGUUCUAUACAGUUAUGUAUAAUAAUAUUUAUAUUAUUUAUACCUCUAACUAGAGCGUACCUUGAGCAUAUAUGCUGUGACCCGAAAAGAUGGUGGGAAAAGGGGGGGGGGGGGAAGGGAGCGCGUGCCGCCGCGGGGGGGGCCGCCGCGGGGUGUCGCGUCCCUUCCGUGCUCGUCGUCUCCUCUUUGUU